UUCAGGAGGGCGUUGUCACAGAGUCUGGGGUGCGCUGUGUUGUUCAUUGUAAAAACCCUUUGGAGCAUCUGGGAAUGUGCUGCCCCACAUGUCCAGGCUGUGUGUUUGAGGGUGUGCAGUAUCAGGAAGGGGAGGAAUUUCAGCCGGAAGGAAGCAAAUGUACCAAGUGUUCCUGCACUGGAGGCAGGACACAAUGUGUGAGAGAAGUCUGUCCCAUUCUCUCCUGUCCCCAGCACCUUAGUCACAUACCCCCAGGACAGUGCUGCCCCAAAUGUUUGGGUCAGAGGAAAGUGUUUGACCUCCCUUUUGGGAGCUGCCUCUUUCGAAGUGAUGUUUAUGACAAUGGAUCCUCAUUUCUGUACGAUAACUGCACAGCUUGCACCUGCAGGGACUCUACUGUGGUUUGCAAGAGGAAGUGCUCCCACCCUGGUGGCUGUGACCAAGGCCAGGAGGGCUGUUGUGAAGAGUGCC
rnacentral:lncRNA from 1 species